AAGGGGAGGGUAGUGUGGGGUGGUUUCUUUCUUGGUUCAUUUAGAGGAAGUAAAAGUCGUAACAAGGUUUCCGUAGGUGAACCUGCGGAAGGAUCAUUAUCGAAAUCGAAAGCCUAGGAGAAAGGGGGGGGGAUGCGGGGCUGUCGCUGGCCUCUUUGGCAUGUGCACGCGUUGGUCCCUCUCCCGCCUUCGAAGCUUUCAACUUCUCAACACCUGUGUGCACCCGCUGUAGGUCCUUCGGGACCUAUGUCUUCUCUUCCGAACUCGCAUGUCUACAGAAUGUGUAUGCGUCGCGUUGGCGACUGCGAAACCUUUGUACAACUUUCAGCAAUGGAUCUCUUGGCUCUCGCAUCGAUGAAGAACGCAGCGAAUCGCGAUAAGUAAUGUGAAUUGCAGAUUUUCCGUGAAUCAUCGAAUCUUUGAACGCACCUUGCGCUCCUUGGUAUUCCGAGGAGCAUGCCUGUUUGAGUGUCAUCGAAAUAUCGGACCGAAUGACUUCGAUGCUGUCGGAGCUCGGUUUCGGAUGUUGGGAGUGGUGCGGGCGGCAACGUCGGCUCUCCUCAAAAGCAUUAGCUGUGGGCGCGAGCCUCGCAUGGCACGGCCGCUUUGACGUCGUAAUGAUCGUCGUGGGCUUGGAAGUGCGUGGGUUGACGUGUCUCCACGCUUCGAAACCUUCUGCGAGUCCGUCCGUCGUCCGGACGGUCGCACGUAUCGAUGCUUGACCUCAAAUCAGGUAGGACUACCCGCUGAACUUAAGCAUAUCAAUAAGCGGGAGGA
rnacentral:rRNA from 1 species